AUGCUGGAGGUAUCAGAAGUGCGAAUGCUGACAUAAGUAACGAUAAAGCGGGUGAAAAGCCCGCUCGCCGGAAGACCAAGGGUUCCUGUCCAACGUUAAUCGGGGCAGGGUGAGUCGACCCCUAAGGCGAGGCCGAAAGGCGUAGUCGAUGGGAAACAGGUUAAUAUUCCUGUACUUGGUGUUACUGCGAAGGGGGGACGGAGAAGGCUAUGUUGGCCGGGCGACGGUUGUCCCGGUUUAAGCGUGUAGGCUGGUUUUCCAGGCAAAUCCGGAAAAUCAAGGCUGAGGCGUGAUGACGAGGCACUACGGUGCUGAAGCAACAAAUGCCCUGCUUCCAGGAAAAGCCUCUAAGCAUCAGGUAACAUCAAAUCGUACCCCAAACCGACACAGGUGGUCAGGUAGAGAAUACCAAGGCGCUUGAGAGAACUCGGGUGAAGGAACUAGGCAAAAUGGUGCCGUAACUUCGGGAGAAGGCACGCUGAUAUGUAGGUGAAGCGACUUGCUCGUGGAGCUGAAAUCAGUCGAAGAUACCAGCUGGCUGCAACUGUUUAUUAAAAACACAGCACUGUGCAAACACGAAAGUGGACGUAUACGGUGUGACGCCUGCCCGGUGCCGGAAGGUUAAUUGAUGGGGUUAGCGGUAACGCGAAGCUCUUGAUCGAAGCCCCGGUAAACGGCGGCCGUAACUAUAACGGUCCUAAGGUAGCGAAAUUCCUUGUCGGGUAAGUUCCGACCUGCACGAAUGGCGUAAUGAUGGCCAGGCUGUCUCCACCCGAGACUCAGUGAAAUUGAACUCGCUGUGAAGAUGCAGUGUACCCGCGGCAAGACGGAAAGACCCCGUGAACCUUUACUAUAGCUUGACACUGAACAUUGAGCCUUGAUGUGUAGGAUAGGUGGGAGGCUUUGAAGUGUGGACGCCAGUCUGCAUGGAGCCGACCUUGAAAUACCACCCUUUAAUGUUUGAUGUUCUAACGUUGGCCCCUGAUCGGGGUUGCGGACAGUGUCUGGUGGGUAGUUUGACUGGGGCGGUCUCCUCCUAAAGAGUAACGGAGGAGCACGAAGGUUGGCUAAUCCUGGUCGGACAUCAGGAGGUUAGUGCAAUGGCAUAAGCCAGCUUGACUGCGAGCGUGACGGCGCGAGCAGGUGCGAAAGCAGGUCAUAGUGAUCCGGUGGUUCUGAAUGGAAGGGCCAUCGCUCAACGGAUAAAAGGUACUCCGGGGAUAACAGGCUGAUACCGCCCAAGAGUUCAUAUCGACGGCGGUGUUUGGCACCUCGAUGUCGGCUCAUCACAUCCUGGGGCUGAAGUAGGUCCCAAGGGUAUGGCUGUUCGCCAUUUAAAGUGGUACGCGAGCUGGGUUUAGAACGUCGUGAGACAGUUCGGUCCCUAUCUGCCGUGGGCGCUGGAGAACUGAGGGGGGCUGCUCCUAGUACGAGAGGACCGGAGUGGACGCAUCACUGGUGUUCGGGUUGUCAUGCCAAUGGCACUGCCCGGUAGCUAAAUGCGGAAGAGAUAAGUGCUGAAAGCAUCUAAGCACGAAACUUGCCCCGAGAUGAGUUCU
rnacentral:rRNA from 3 species